rnacentral:lncRNA from 1 species
ACCAGUUGAGCCGCCGGAAUUUUACGAACGAUUAUGCAAGCGUACGUCUUGAGGACGACCAUGAGCCACAUAUCAUCUCAAAUUUCUGCCCGUCAAGCCUUGUGACGAAACGGAAUCGGACUUCUUCAAGGCGCGGAUCCUAAAGUUGUUUGGAUCGCAGAGUGACGCGGAAACCCAGUGACAGUAAGCGGGUGCUAGUACCUCCGACGAGAUGAGUGACUGCCCGGGAGGGCUGGAGGAAGCUUGUAUGAGACAGCAUCAUGGUCAAUUACAGCUGGCCCGAGCCCGAACCAGGCCAAUCAACGUGCUGGCCCGAGCCCGGCCCGGGCCCACAGUCAAAAGUCCGAGCCCAUCCCAGGCCUGGGCUUUCGGCUCAGCAAAGUCUGCGGAUCUGGUUAUGCUUCCUGUACGGGACAGAUCACGAAGCGGUUGCUGACUGACCAGUUGGGGCGAAAAUAUUUGUGGGAAGGACGCAAGAGAAAGUUGACAUUCAGGAAUCUUCACCUUGCUGAGUGCAUCAUAAAUGCAGUGCAGAGCUGCCAUAAAUGUGAAGACUUCAAGGUAGAAACCAUGGUCACGGAUUAACUUCGCCACGCACCUGCCUGACAUCAGUCAUCUCAAAUGGAACAUUCUGCACCACAGGAGAGAGAGAUGUGAACUGCCUUAAGUGGGCC